UAGGUACAUCUGGAAGUUCAGCACUCAGCAGGCUUGAAGGUGAAUUUACCUGCACUUCGGAGCUUCAGCUGGCUAUUCCUUACUUAAAGAAGGCAUAUGGUGACAGCAUGCGCAAAGUUUUGCACGUGGGACCUGAUACUUGUUCUGUGGUGUCCAAACUAUUAAAAGAAGAAGAAACUGAAGCAUGGGGUGUUGAACCUUAUGAUGUCGAGGAUGUCGAGGCGAACUGCAAGAAUCUUAUCCACAGAGGAAUAGUACGUGUGG